UUCAUAUUAUUUAAGAAAUGAAACCUCUUAUCUAAUGAAAGGCGUUGGAUUUGAACUACAAUUUCGAGCGGCAUUAAGUGAUACUACCCCAAAGAGUGUAUAAUUAACCUGUACCUCACUCCAAUACUAUGUAUACAAUGUAUAGUGUUCAGCACAGACCUUCGAGGAACUUCCUGUUUAUUACUCAAUUAAUGCAUAUCAAGAACUUCCUGUUGGAUAGUAUUUCGACCUUCUCGAGAACAUUCUAUUUUAGUCCUUAAAGCAAUCCCCAUUACUGUCCAAUUUAGUUAAAAAAUAUUAUGUAUUAAACAUUAACAUUAACAUUAACCUGACCUAGAUCAUACGAGUAACUUCUAAAAAUAAUUAGUAAGGACAGAAGUUAAAUGUUUAAAACUCCAAAAAGCACAUUAUUGACUUUUACGCAUUGCAUAUACGAAUAUGCAUUCUACAGAUUCAUUUUUGGGAAGAGUCUGUAGAGGUUUUCAAAGCUAAAAGCACCUCCAUACGAAAAAAUUUGCUG